UACAUGGGGUGCAAACGUUGCUCGGAAUCAUUGGGCGUAAAGCGCGCGUAGGCGGUUACUUAAGUCGAAUGUGAAAGCCCUCGGCUUAACUGAGGAAGUGCAUCCGAAACUGAGUAGCUAGAGUACGAAAGAGGGUCGCGGAAUUCCCGGUGUAGAGGUGAAAUUCGUAGAUAUCGGGAGGAACACCGGUGGCGAAGGCAGGUCUCUGGGCUGUAACUGACGCUGAGGAGCGAAAGCAUGGGGAGCGAACAGG
rnacentral:rRNA from 1 species